GCUGGUUCUUUUCAUCCAUUUCUCACAUUCUAGCUUAAUUUCAGGUUUUCAGGUGAUUUUUUUGAAAACUAGUUCAAUUACUUAAGUCAUUAUGGAAGUUUUGACAACUUUCUCUUUUGCUCUCAGAUUAAGGCCCAAUGUACGUCUCACGUGGCUUGAGAAGAUGGGUAGCCUUAGGGGUUGAUUGUUAUCUUUGGUUAUCUAGCUGUAUGAGUGAUGUACAUUCUUCAUAAAGCUAGAUAACCGAAAGUAACAAGAAUCCCAUUACACUCCUGGAAAGGCAUCAAGACCCCAAACUGUGACUUCAAGCAAAACAAAUUCCUCUAGAAGAAAAUGGAAUUUUUUUGGAACACUGGAGCUUACUUUUUCCAAAGGCUGCCACGCUGUGAAGGAAAAGGCUGUCAUGUGAAGACUGAGAAACAGGGAAGAAGAUGGAGGAGGUGUGGUUGGUGUUGAUUCUGCCCUCCCUCUUCCCUCGUCCUCGACAGCAUUGCCGUUUUCCCUCCUCCUCUUCCCCUUACUCCUCCACGCCAUCCUCAGCCGACUGCCCCUUUUUUCCUGUACAGAGAAACGCAGCCCACGCCACCAUCUUAGAGCGAUGCUGGCAUGAAAUGGAAGUGAAAAGACGAGUCAUCGCAGGUAAACCCAGAUACCCGAGGACCCAGAAGGACAGCAGGACUCCUCCCUCACUGGCCUUUUGUACACUUCUUUCAUUAAAAUAAAAGAAGAUGAUGGCCAAGUCAGGAGUGGUUCUUUCUAUCGGAUCUUGGAUCACGGGACACCUUUUGGUGCUUAACUCGAGUGGACCUCUUGACUGACAGUCCUUUUUAACACCUGAGGCCUGAACAAGAAGCUGGACGAUCUGAAUAGUUUUUUAUGUAUAUUCUGUUUUUACCUAAUUUAAAAAAAAAAAUUUAAAUCUCUUUUUGUGCAUUUUCUUUAAUUAAAUAGUGAUAAAUACAGCCUGUGUGUAACUAAAUAGAGUUAACAUAGCAUUCACCGAGCUGUGUAGCAUGAAUGAGACUCUGCCCACUGUAUUUGACAAGUGGUUUGGUUGUAGUUGUAGUAGGGUGGCACAAUUAAUUGGAUUUUAAAUCAUUAAAUAAAUUUAAAUCAUCAAUUCCUUUCUCA
rnacentral:lncRNA from 1 species